GAUGAACGCUAGCGGCAGGCCUAAUACAUGCAAGUCGAACGGUUAUAGGAAUUAGUAAUAGUUUUUAUGAUAGUGGCGCACGGGUGCGUAACGCGUAUGCAACCUACCUUCAAUUGGGGGAUAACUCUGGGAAACUGGAAUUAAUACCGCAUAAGAUAGUAAUGCUUCAUGGCAUAGCUAUUAAAGAUUUAUCGAUUGAAGAUGGGCAUGCGUGACAUUAGUUAGUUGGUGAGGUAACGGCUCACCAAGACGACGAUCUGUAGCGGGUCUGAGAGGAUGAUCCGCCACACUGGGACUGAGACACGGCCCAGACUCCUACGGGAGGCAGCAGUGGGGAAUUUUGGACAAUGGGGGGCGAACCCUGAUCCAGCCAUGCCGCGUGAGUG
rnacentral:rRNA from 1 species